AGAUUAAGUUAUUAAGGGCGCACGGUGGAUGCCUUGGCACUAGAAGCCGAUGAAGGACGUUACUAACGACGAUAUGCUUUGGGGAGCUGUAAGUAAGCUUUGAUCCAGAGAUUUCCGAAUGGGGAAACCCAGCAUGAGUUAUGUCAUGUUAUCGAUAUGUGAAUACAUAGCAUAUCAGAAGGCACACCCGGAGAACUGAAACAUCUUAGUACCCGGAGGAAGAGAAAGAAAAUUCGAUUCCCUUAGUAGCGGCGAGCGAAACGGGAAGAGCCCAAACCAACAAGCUUGCUUGUUGGGGUUGUAGGACACUCUAUACGGAGUUACAAAGGACGACAUUAGACGAAUCAUCUGGAAAGAUGAAUCAAAGAAGGUAAUAAUCCUGUAGUCGAAAAUGUUGUCUCUCUUGAGUGGAUCCUGAGUACGACGGAGCACGUGAAAUUCCGUCGGAAUCUGGGAGGACCAUCUCCUAAGGCUAAAUACUCUCUAGUGACCGAUAGUGAACCAGUACCGUGAGGGAAAGGUGAAAAGCACCCCGGAAGGGGAGUGAAAUAGAACCUGAAACCGUGUGCUUACAAGUAGUCAGAGCCCGUUAAUGGGUGAUGGCGUGCCUUUUGUAGAAUGAACCGGCGAGUUACGAUUUGAUGCAAGGUUAAGCAGUAAAUGUGGAGCCGUAGCGAAAGCGAGUCUGAAUAGGGCGUUUAGUAUUUGGUCGUAGACCCGAAACCAGGUGAUCUACCCUUGGUCAGGUUGAAGUUCAGGUAACACUGAAUGGAGGACCGAACCGACUUACGUUGAAAAGUGAGCGGAUGAACUGAGGGUAGCGGAGAAAUUCCAAUCGAACCUGGAGAUAGCUGGUUCUCUCCGAAAUAGCUUUAGGGCUAGCCUCAAGUGAUGAUUAUUGGAGGUAGAGCACUGUUUGGACGAGGGGCCCCUCUCGGGUUACCGAAUUCAGACAAACUCCGAAUGCCAAUUAAUUUAACUUGGGAGUCAGAACAUGGGUGAUAAGGUCCGUGUUCGAAAGGGAAACAGCCCAGACCACCAGCUAAGGUCCCAAAAUAUAUGUUAAGUGGAAAAGGAUGUGGCGUUGCCCAGACAACUAGGAUGUUGGCUUAGAAGCAGCCAUCAUUUAAAGAGUGCGUAAUAGCUCACUAGUCGAGUGACACUGCGCCGAAAAUGUACCGGGGCUAAACAUAUUACCGAAGCUGUGGAUUGUCCUUUGGACAAUGGUAGGAGAGCGUUCUAAGGGCGUUGAAGCAUGAUCGUAAGAACAUGUGGAGCGCUUAGAAGUGAGAAUGCCGGUGUGAGUAGCGAAAGACGGGUGAGAAUCCCGUCCACCGAUUGACUAAGGUUUCCAGAGGAAGGCUCGUCCGCUCUGGGUUAGUCGGGUCCUAAGCUGAGGCCGACAGGCGUAGGCGAUGGAUAACAGGUUGAUAUUCCUGUACCACCUAUAAUCGUUUUAAUCGAUGGGGGGGACGCAGUAGGAUAGGCGAAGCGUGCGAUUGGAUUGCACGUCUAAGCAGUAAGGCUGAGUAUUAGGCAAAUCCGGUACUCGUUAAGGCUGAGCUGUGAUGGGGAGAAGACAUUGUGUCUUCGAGUCGUUGAUUUCACACUGCCGAGAAAAGCCUCUAGAUAGAAAAUAGGUGCCCGUACCGCAAACCGACACAGGUAGUCAAGAUGAGAAUUCUAAGGUGAGCGAGCGAACUCUCGUUAAGGAACUCGGCAAAAUGACCCCGUAACUUCGGGAGAAGGGGUGCUCUUUAGGGUUAACGCCCAGAAGAGCCGCAGUGAAUAGGCCCAAGCGACUGUUUAUCAAAAACACAGGUCUCUGCUAAACCGUAAGGUGAUGUAUAGGGGCUGACGCCUGCCCGGUGCUGGAAGGUUAAGAGGAGUGGUUAGCUUCUGCGAAGCUACGAAUCGAAGCCCCAGUAAACGGCGGCCGUAACUAUAACGGUCCUAAGGUAGCGAAAUUCCUUGUCGGGUAAGUUCCGACCCGCACGAAAGGCGUAACGAUUUGGGCACUGUCUCAACGAGAGACUCGGUGAAAUCAUAGUACCUGUGAAGAUGCAGGUUACCCGCGACAGGACGGAAAGACCCCGUGGAGCUUUACUGUAGCCUGAUAUUGAAAUUCGGCACAGCUUGUACAGGAUAGGUAGGAGCCUUUGAAACGUGAGCGCUAGCUUACGUGGAGGCGCUGGUGGGAUACUACCCUAGCUGUGUUGGCUUUCUAACCCGCACCACUUAUCGUGGUGGGAGACAGUGUCAGGCGGGCAGUUUGACUGGGGCGGUCGCCUCCUAAAAGGUAACGGAGGCGCUCAAAGGUUCCCUCAGAAUGGUUGGAAAUCAUUCAUAGAGUGUAAAGGCAUAAGGGAGCUUGACUGCGAGACCUACAAGUCGAGCAGGGUCGAAAGACGGACUUAGUGAUCCGGUGGUUCCGCAUGGAAGGGCCAUCGCUCAACGGAUAAAAGCUACCCCGGGGAUAACAGGCUUAUCUCCCCCGAGAGUUCACAUCGACGGGGAGGUUUGGCACCUCGAUGUCGGCUCAUCGCAUCCUGGGGCUGUAGUCGGUCCCAAGGGUUGGGCUGUUCGCCCAUUAAAGCGGUACGCGAGCUGGGUUCAGAACGUCGUGAGACAGUUCGGUCCCUAUCCGUCGUGGGCGUAGGAAAUUUGAGAGGAGCUGUCCUUAGUACGAGAGGACCGGGAUGGACAUACCUCUGGUGUACCAGUUGUCGUGCCAACGGCAUAGCUGGGUAGCUAUGUGUGGACGGGAUAAGUGCUGAAAGCAUCUAAGCAUGAAGCCCCCCUCAAGAUGAGAUUUCCCAACUUCGGUUAUAAGAUCCCUCAAAGAUGAUGAGGUUAAUAGGUUCGAGGUGGAAGCAUGGUGACAUG
rnacentral:rRNA from 1 species